AAAUAAAAGUACUGUUGCUUUUGUGAGGCGACCUCUAGCUCGCCCAGUGAGAGCGUGCUCCCCAUGUGGGCUGAGUCCUUCGCAGUGGCCCGGGUUCGAGUCCGGCCUGCUGCCCUUUGCUGGGUCUCAUCCCCCCCAUCUCUCUCCCACCGUUCCGGUCUAUCUACUGUCACUAUCAAAUAAAGGGAAAAAAAACCCACCAGA